CUGAAGAUGAUUCCAUCAAGCUGUAUAAUAUUCCACCCUGUGCAUAGACCAUUCAGCUGGAUUUGGAAAGGACCCAGGCAGCUCCUGCUCCACUGUAGCUGCAGACCUGGGUGAAGGCUGUCCUCUUUGGCACCAAGGUCAGGACUGUCUCCAUUGCUCUUUACCCUGAGGAUGUGGCUGGCUCCUUCACUGCCUGUCCUCUUCAACUCUGUGUCCAGAAGUCAUGGGGUGCUCUGAGGGAAUUGCAGGGAAAAGCAACAACAGUGGAUCUUGAAAAUAUGGAAGAGACUCAAAGCAAGUUAUUUCCUGGAUUUUUGUGAAACACUGAUAAGAUGCUAACAAGCACUGGGUAGAAAAUCUAUUUGCUCUUGGACAACCAGUCCCACAGGGAAACCAUCUGUGCCUCUUGCCAUGGGGAGAGCCGAAAGGCAAUGGCUUAGUUAAUCAGGACUGGGCACUGCUGGCCUUCCCUGGGUAGUGUUGUGGGAGAGAGUUAGUGUCACUCCAUCAGGCCACACCUUCACUCAGAGCACUCUCUUCCCACUCACGAUGGACUAGGACCCUCACCUUGGGUGAGAAUGUGAUUUGUCAUGGCAUCUGUGAUCAUAAAGUCACUGAACAUGACCUCAGAGGGACCCAAGACUCCUUCUCUUGACAGAUGAGGGAACUGAGCCCGUAAAUGAACAACAGAUGUGCCAAACCCCCUCAGCUGGUGGCUGUUUGUCAUCUGUCACCUGAUCAUGGUUCUCCUGGCUUCUAUGUUGCCCUCCCUCCACAGGGCAGCAGGUGCUACUUCUAAAUGGACAAGUGGGAAUGUGGGUCUAGGGGAGGCCCCACAGACAGGGGGAUGCUGUCGGUCCCAGACCUGCCACCAGACCAUUGCUCAUUUCCUGUUGAUACUCUGCAUCUCCAGUGCUUGGGUCUGAAAGACCCGUUUUACUCCUGAAAUAUUCACACUUCCUAAGAUGGUAAUGGCUGGUAUUAUUUUGUAAAAGACAUCACUAAUGCUUUAUUGCUUUAAAAGAAAGGAGAAGGCCGGGUGUGGUGGCUCACGCCUGUAAUUC
rnacentral:lncRNA from 10 species